UAUAGUGUGCAUCUAUAGCAUACAAUAAAUCUGCUGAACUUGUUAUGCUGUUUUGAUAAAUCAUCACCAGAAUCUCCACAUGUAUGUGCUGUGAGAACUGCCCAUGUGAUUGAUCGCCUCGCUUGGGAGCCAUAGGAUAGAUCAGAUAUGCAGC